AGGGCCAUUUAAGGGUGCCCAGAGAUGGGGGUUUCCCCCAUAUUUGUUUGCUUUUUCUUUCCUAGAAGUUAGAUAAAUUCUCGUCCUUGAGGCUAGCCGGUGCCUGUGCUCUCAGUGGGCUCCUGUCAGAGCUUCCUCCGGAAUGAUUCCAGAGGUGAUGACUGCGGGGAAGAAGUUACCAAUUUCUCAUGUAUGAUGGCUGACAGUGAAGUCAUUUCAAUUCU